GACGAACGCUGGCGGCGUGCCUAAUACAUGCAAGUUGAGCGAUGAAGAUUGGUGCUUGCCCCAAUUUGAAGAGCAGCGAACGGGUGAGUAACGCGUGGGGAAUCUGCCUUUGAGCGGGGGACAACAUUUGGAAACGAAUGCUAAUACCGCAUAACAACUUUAAACAUAAGUUUUAAGUUUGAAAGAUGCAAUUGCAUCACUCAAAGAUGAUCCCGCGUUGUAUUAGCUAGUUGGUGAGGUAAAGGCUCACCAAGGCGAUGAUACAUAGCCGACCUGAGAGGGAGAUCGGCCACAUUGGGACUGAGACACGGCCCAAACUCCUACGGGAGGCAGCAGUAGGGAAUCUUCGGCAAUGGACGAAAGUCUGACCGAGCAACGCCGCGUGAGUGAAGAAGGUUUUCGGAUCGUAAAACUCUGUUGGUAGAGAAGAACGUUGGUGAGAGUGGAAAGCUCAUCAAGUGACGGUAACUACACAGAAAGGGACGGCUAACUACGUG
rnacentral:rRNA from 1 species